rnacentral:lncRNA from 1 species
AAAGGGAGAGCAGCAGAAGGAAUUUCCAAACUCUUCUGCACCUGAAGUGCUAAUGUGGAUUCCCUGAUUCUCAAUCCAAAAACAGAUUCCUCUGGUCGUGGUACAGUAAUUUACUGUUUCAUUGCUCUGGUAUCCAUUUUUUUAUUUUGAUUUUUUUUUCAAACUAUUGUACACCUAUUUCAAUAGGCCAUGCCUUGCAAAAUAUCUUCUGUUUUUGGAAUAGACUUUUCCUCUUACACUUGGACUAGCUAAUUGGAUAGCAAAACACUAACUGCAGGGAUAGGAUUACUCAAUGCUCUUGUAAUGCUGUUUUGCUGUUCAGUUUCAGCCCUUUUGCAUGAAAAGAAUCUGCCUUGAAAUAGCUUCUCACCCCAUCGUCGUCCUCCGGGGUAGGCGUGGAGGCAAGCCCCACAGAUCCCUCUGUGUAGAAGUCAUGGUGCAGGCUGUGCACACACCUCUGGCUGUGACCUGGAGGCACCUAGUACUCACUGGAUGGAAUAACUUCAUGACCGUGGUAUGAAGAGUGAUCUGCUUGGCAGAGCAUCUGAAGCAGCCAUCUACACUGUGCCACUGGCGUGGUGAAGUGUGUCUAGCUAUGGUGAAGCUUGGAUCUGCGUCAUGGCCCAUGAUAUUUCUGUCUGCAAGAACCUGGUUCCAGUUUCUGUGAAUCCAGACCCUGAGGAGCAGGGAAGUACGGACCUUGUGGAAGGAUCACUGGAUAGAAAACUGCAGAGGCCUCUCCUGGGAAAGUCAAGGACCCUUCCCAGCAUUCCUCAGUCCCCUGUCCUCAGCAGGGUUCCUCUUUUGGAUUCAAAAUUGUAUAGGGAGGAGAUGCCAGAGCAGAAGCAGUACAAGAACCACUCUGCCUCAGACUGUCAGAAAGGGUGCACAGUGCCCUCUGCUGGGGAGGCCUGGCAGCUGGAAGACGAUUGUGUGGAGCCUCCCGGGGAUACCGCUCCCCAGACCCAGCUCUGCACUGCCAUGGACGAGGCCCCAUUCAGGCACUUCCAGACGCACUCCUUCUACAUGAGGAAAAGCCUGUCUAUGGACAACCACCUGAGCUCCCUCAGUUACUCUCUCCACCCGUCAGAGACGAAGGCUGAUCGCGUCAAAACCAAGCUCAGGAGGCAGUUUGUGAGUACUUGAUGGGAGGGGUUGCUCUCCCCCCCCCCCCAAUUCCCAUAGUCUAUAUUGAAGGUUACCUGCAUAUGUGCACACAUUCUCAAAAACAGUGACAUGCUGGAUGGUUAUUUUUAUUCAAAACAUGUUAAAAAAUAGUUUGGCUCCCCAGCUUGGUCAAACAGAUGGCAGUAGCAUCGUCUGGAGUUUGGCAAAAUCACACCACAAAACCGAUUUGUCUCGUUUGUCAGGUUUUUAAAUCGCUAAUGUUAAAAGAAAAGCUGUCAUCAGAGACCGCACCUGCUUAGGCUGGGUAAUGCAGUGUGGUAACAUGCUAUCUCUUCAGCUCUGGAAGCUUCCAUUCAAAUCUUGUUUUUAUUUUUUAGGCCUCAAAUAAAAAUGGGUUUGUGGUCUUAUACCA